CAGAGGGAAGACUUCGCUUACCUGUCUUCCCUCCUGCCCACUUCCUGGGCACAAAAGAAAGCCACUGCAAAGCACUGCUCUCAGUCAGAGUUUGGCCUCCCCACCCACCCCAUGAUCUAAGCGCAUGACUUCCUGAGGGUAAGCAGGCAGGCCUUGCUAUGGAUGUAUUUAGUCACUGUGUUUGGGGUCAGGGAGGAAUUUGCUUUCAGAUUAGGCCUGUCUGGGGUUUUGCCUACCUCAUUGCAAUCAUUACAACUUUGAUGGAGGAUAGGGCAUUGGAGUGCAUCCUCAGUCUGGUUGGAUGGUGAGGUCAGAAACCUUGAGAGUCCAAGGAAGCAGGGGAUCCUGUUAAAAGAAUCCAGGGUGAAGGUACUUCUGUCCAGAUGGCUAGACAGGCCAUAGGUCCACCCAGGUGAUAUCAGGAGGGGUUGCCCAGAUUUGGUGUGUGUCAUAGGGCAACCCGUUACCCUGGUUAACCAUGCCUAAAUAAUUAACCAGCAGACAGGUUGGUUAAUUCAAGGCAUGCUAAUUCAGGAUGUGCUAAAACCUGUUGACAUCUGUAAUAUAGCAAGCUGUGGUCUAUUUAAAUUCCAAAAUGGUUGCCCUGUGUUUAUUGCAAUUCUUCCAGGAUUAGGACCUCCUGCCUACGGCUUCACUGCUGCUGAGGCCUGCAAUGAGAAUUCACCUCUGUACAGUGGAAGCUGGUUUAUUUGGGUGAGCAGGGCACUGCGCCACCAACCUCAGCCUCCUCUCAGCCAGCACCCGCCCACCUGUCUUACUUGCAACCUCUACCAGGGAUAGUACUGCCUAUCAUCUUAGUCAUCCUCAAUCUCAGUAUUGCUCUUGUAGAACUCAUCAAAAAGGUAAUAGGGGGCAAAACUAGAAUUAGCUGUCUCUGACUAUCAUUAGCAAGGGCGCCAUCUACUGUUGGCUCCCUGCCUUUUGCCCUAAAAGUUCCAAUGAGUAGCAGCCACCAUUGCUUCCAUAUCACACUUAACCUCUGACAAAUCAGAAAGGUCAAAGGCCAAGGAAGCAAGUAAAGGCAAAGCUAUAUCUGGUGAGGCAAAAGGCAAGCUGAGUCUAACUUCUUGCUCUGAGAAGCAAGCAUUAACUGGAAACUUCAUGUUGAUCAGGGAUGUCUGUGGAUUACUAAGGUUUAAGAAGCUAAAGGUAAAGGACCCCUAACAAUUAAGUCCAGUUGCAGAUGACUCUGGGGUUGCGGCGCUCAUCUCGCUUUACAGGCUGAGGGAGCCAGCGUUUAUCCACAGACAGUUUUUACAGGUCAUAUGCCCAGUGUGACUAAGCCGCUUCUGGCGCAACGGAACACCGAAACCAGAGCAGCGCACAGAAACACUGCUUACCUUCCCGCCGGAACCAUACCUAUUUAUCUACUUGCAAUUUUUGGGCGUGCUUUCAAACUGCUAGGUUGGCAGGAGCUGGGACCGAGCAACAGGAGCUCACCCUGUCGCAGGGAUUCGAACCGCCGACCUGCUGAUUGGCAAGCCCAAGAGGCUCUGUGAUUUAGACCACAGCGCCACCUGUGCCCCCUUUUAGCCUUUUUUAAGAGGCUAAAGCUUUUCAAAUUCAGUGCUGCUUUCAGUGAACAGGACCAUCACUUCAUGAAGUCUUUCUAUCAAAUACCCGCCUUUUUCCAUUUCCCCUGGAAACUAUCCUUGUUAGGAAGUGGACUGAGGGCACAGGAUAAAGUCACCUUGUUGAACUUAAGCAGUUCUAGAUUUGGUGAGCACCUGAAUGUGAGCCCACCAGGAAGCCUUUAUAUGCUGCCCUGAUUCCAUAUAUAACCAAUGUGCUCAAAGCAGGCUUCUUAAACCACAGGGAGGGGAAAGAAAAUAGUGAAAUCUGAAUGCUUUCUAGUAACUUGUGUUUCAGAAUUUGGACUGCUUCUAGUGAGAAAUUUAAGACUAUAAAAGUGAUGGCAAUUAUUUAAAGUAUUUUUGAUGUUUCUUGUGGGUGACUUCAUCUGGAAAGCAGUGUAAGUGCUUUCCCCGCCCCCACGCUAUACCAACAAGGAAAAAUAUAGUCUUUAUUUAGGGGCGCAGAAGACCUUCAGUAAUUCUAACAUAUCUUAAUGGCAUUAAGAGCAUUAUAGGGAAAGAUGAACCCAUUAAACACAAUGAAAAUCCAACAAUUUUCUUGGAAGAUUAUGCAGAAUGCCUCAGCUUACCUAAUUUAUUGAAAACACUGUUGUUCUGUUUUACUCUCUCACCUCCAGAAUGAUAAAUUACUUUUCAUGCAUUUUGAUCAAAAUAAAAUCUCACUAAAUGAGAGAUGACUGGUAAAAGAUAGGUUGAUACGAGUUCUUCUGCAUCAACAGCUGAUAGAUACUUUAACUUCUGUGCACCACAUAAGAUAGGAUGAUUUAUUAAUGACAAUUAUAUUAAAUAGUCCUAAGGUCACUAUCAAAAGUGACAAGAGAAAUCUAAAGCAGGAAAGAAAAAGGCCAAAGGAUAAAGGUAAAAUAAUUCACAUGGCCGAUAAUCAGAAAGGCUAAUAAAAGAACAGAUACAAAGAAAAUGAAUUAUGUAUGCAGUCUUAUCCUCCUGCCUGAUGAAUGCAGGUGAGGGUGAAUUUGCCUCCAUACGCUCCCAUGGAAGCAAAAGCUUGGAAUGGAUGAAGUCAAUGUGACAUAAUCUGGCCUCAUGCAGUCCUACGACUGGGAUGGGACAAAGGCACAUGCAUUUUUAGUGCUCCCCCUCUUCUCCUGCACAGCUAUGAUAUCUGCUACCACACACUGCCCACCCCACCAAUUAAGACUGUGCAGAAUUAAAGCGUCACUGUUGGGACAAAGUAGGGAACUGGUGUCUUUUUCCCCCACUACACUGCUAGUGUACAAACAGUAACACAAAUCAGUGUUGUGUGCAACGCACUCCCUGCUGAAAUAUAAGAAGUUCCAUCUGUAUGGGCAUUCUCCUCUUUACACCUCUUUACACAGGCAUGCGCUUAACCUCCUGAUUUAAUUGCUGUGCUGCUUUAAUAGGAUCAUUUUAUUGUCUGUUUUUAAUUUCAGAUGUCCAAAUAUUAAUGCUUUGAUGGGACCAUUUUCUUGUAUAUUUUAACUACAGAUGUUUAUAUAUUCCACUUUGUGCAACCUGCUUUUAUAUUUUGUAAACCGCUUAGAAGACUAUUUUGGCAUUAAGCAGUAUGUGGGUGGGAGGCUGGACCAUUCAAAACAGUGGGCUUUACUUUUGGGUAAACAUUUGACUGAUUGCACUGCAGAGCUUGAAACAGCCAUUUCUCAUAGAUGUAGGAUAAGAAUGUGGAGCUGAUUCCUCAGCAUUAUUGAGAAGAAAUAUAUGUCCCAACUUACAAAUCAGAGUAAAUAAGAAACAAGAAAAACCAUUUAGUCAUCCGUCUCUCCUCCCAUCUCCCAUAUUGUGUUAAAGAGAAAAGUGAUUGAUAGAGUACUGUGCUAAUAUUUUCUAAGCCCUGUUUUUAUAGCUUUUCUGUCAAUAUUUUCUUCAGCCAAGAAGAGAAACUGAGUGUUGAACAUCUUUUCUUUCUUUCUUUCUUUUAAAAAAACCUAGCUAAGACAAAUCUAUUCCAGCUCUAUCCUCUUGUGUUAAAACUUCAUUGUAAGUAAUUCUGAAAGCUAGUGGAAAGGCUGUGAAUUUGAGCAUAGUGCUUAAAACAUAAUAAAGCAGCUAAAAUCAAUACUUAGUCAUUGUUAUUCCAAACUUGUUUCUGCAAAUAGACAGUUGUUAAGCCUCUUUUAAGCAAAAUUGUGAUCUACAGUGGAUGGCAGCCCAUUGACUAGAGCUUAUUAUAUGAUAAGGAUUUUCUUUUUCUAAUCAAAUGUUUUAUCAUUUGUAAGCAAUAUUGAAGUAUUUGGUCCAACACUUUAUUUGCAUGAAGCAUAAGAGGUCACUGCAAAAGUAAUCUGAAGUUUUAAUAUGUAUGCAUAAAGUUCUAAUGAUAACAGCAUUGCAAAAUAUACAAUAAUCUCUGAAAGUCAAUGGUUAGUAAUUUGUCACAUAACCUUAUCAAGAGUGAACAUCCAGACUGUGUAAUCCUAUGCAACCUCCUCAGACGUUAGAUGCAGCUUACACCCAGGUAAAGAUGCAAUAGCUAUUUCCCAUCUCAGAAAAAAAUAAAUCCUGGCUUGUACCCCAGAAGGCAUUGAGCCAACUGUAUAUUUUUUGGGGGGGUGGGGGAACUUUUAUGGAGCAGCAUAGCUGCCUUCCCUUCACUCUUCCUCCCAGUCACGUUUUCAGCUGGCUGUUUGUGGUCAACUGCUAAACUACUUGAUGACAGGGCGAUGAAUUUGUGAAGCAAUCUCUCACCAAUGCCACCACUUGAACCUGCAGUUUAGCUUUAAAUUUGCCUUGUUUCUCAGUAUUUUAAAAUCCAAGCUGUUGUUCUGCCAAGAUAACCGCAGCCGGCUCCCUUGGCCAAUUAAGCAAGAUGAGUGCUGCAACCUCAGAGUCAUCCGCGACUGGACCUAAUGGUCAGGGGUCCCUUUACCCCCAAAAAGGCAGGGAAAUAAUCUCUAUAGCCUAUGCUAGUUACAAUUGUUUCUGUAAAAUAGCAGAGGAUCCUCACAAACAGAAACAGCCUGCAUACAUAUGCCCCAUUCCAUCAAUAUUUGUUGGACUUGUAAGCCCCAGUCGAUGCAUAGAAAUCACUCAUAGUGACUCUUCCAUUCUUCCACAGGAUGAAGCAAAUUCACCUAGAAAUCACUGUUUGUACCUUCCUUUGGAAUAAUUAGGGCAACCUGUGCCUCUACAAAAUUCAUGUAAACAUCUGUAUGUGCGUUACUCUUUUGGUCAGAAGCAUAUUCACAUUCGCAGGGGAUACACUGGGGCGAACACAAGAAUUCAAGAAUUCGCAGAAAAGAAAGCCAGG